rnacentral:rRNA from 1 species
AACGAACGCUGGCGGCAGGCCUAACACAUGCAAGUCGAGCGUACCUUUCGGGGUCAGCGGCGGACGGGUGAGUAACGCGUGGGAAUAUGCCCUUCUCUACGGAAUAGUCCUGGGAAACUGGGGGUAAUACCGUAUACGCCCUUUGGGGGAAAGAUUUAUCGGGGAAGGAUUAGCCCGCGUUGGAUUAGGUAGUUGGUGGGGUAAUGGCCUACCAAGCCGACGAUCCAUAGCUGGUUUGAGAGGAUGAUCAGCCACACUGGGACUGAGACACGGCCCAGACUCCUACGGGAGGCAGCAGUGGGGAAUCUUAGACAAUGGGGGCAACCCUGAUCUAGCCAUGCCGCGUGAGUGAUGAAGGCCUUAGGGUUGUAAAGCUCUUUCAGCUGGGAAGAUAAUGACGGUACCAGCAGAAGAAGCCCCGGCUAACUCCGUG